rnacentral:rRNA from 1 species
UACGGAGGAUGCGAGCGUUAUCCGGAUUUAUUGGGUUUAAAGGGUGCGUAGGCGGCUUUUUAAGUCAGCGGUGAAAUUUUGCAGCUUAACUGUAACAGUGCCGUUGAUACUGGGGAGCUAGGAUUUGGUUGCUGUGGGUGGAAUGUGUGGUGUAGCGGUGAAAUGCUUAGAGAUCACACAGAAUAUCGAUUGCGAAGGCAGCUCACAAAACCAAGAUUGACGCUGAGGCACGAAAGUGUGGGGAUCAAACAGGAUUAGAUA